rnacentral:rRNA from 1 species
AUUGAACGCUGGCGGCAUGCCUUACACAUGCAAGUCGGACGGCAGCACGGGAGCAAUCCUGGUGGCGAGUGGCGAACGGGUGAGUAAUAUAUCGGAACGUGCCCAGUAGUGGGGGAUAACUGCUCGAAAGAGCAGCUAAUACCGCAUACGACCUGAGGGUGAAUGGGGGGGAUCGCAAGACCUCUCGCUAUUGGAGCGGCCGAUAUCAGAUUAGCUAGUUGGUGGGGUAAAGGCCUACCAAGGCAACGAUCUGUAGUUGGUCUGAGAGGACGACCAGCCACACUGGGACUGAGACACGGCCCAGACUCCUACGGGAGGCAGCAGUGGGGAAUUUUGGACAAUGGGCGCAAGCCUGAUCCAGCAAUGCCGCGUGCAGGAAGAAGGCCUUCGGGUUGUAAACUGCUUUUGUCAGGGAAGAAAUCCUCUAGGUUAAUACCCUUGGGGGGAUGACGGUACCUGAAGAAUAAGCACCGGCUAACUACGUGCCAGCCGCCGCAGUAAAAC